rnacentral:lncRNA from 1 species
AGAAUUGAACUAGCGCCCCGGCAACCCAACUACUGCUUUAUUUAAUGCUUUAGCCUAUUAUUAAGUAAUUGAACUCCAGGUGCGAUACAGCACCAGGUUAGUGACUUUUCUCCAGUAGACCCUUCUGGCAAAUGACCUAGGAAGAGAUCCAAGAGAUGAGAUGCGCCUGAGGUAGUAACUUGUCUAGUUGCUUGUCUGGCUUUCUACUUGGCCCCUAGUUGCAUCUGUGUUUGUUGCGCAAGAGGUGAGAUGAGAUAAUAGAAUUCUCAAAAAAUAGAAUAUAUGUGAUAGAACUGAUUGAACUCGAUUCUUCACCCCCGGCCAUCUAUCUCUCUUAUUAACCCCCUAAUUAUGAUCCAGUUGAGGAAUAUGCUUAGCGCAACCCUUCCUUGCCAGCUGUAUUCUGUAUUUCAUGUUUCAAGAAGUAUUUGUUUACUUACAGAGUAUGAUGAGAUGGAUAACCAACUGUAGUUUCUUGUAUGCUCGGAUGCUCUUCUAUAUUAUAUUAUAUUAUAGGAGACUAGAUGAUUGUAUUAUAGGAGCCUACCAGAGUGAGGUUAGUUUACAGAGCCAUGGAGGGAUAUCUAAGUUACUUUCGAGGAUAGGUCGAUGAGCCGGAUUAAGGUAUCGUUGCCCGAGGUAUAUGGAUAAGAAGUAGAAUCUCUUUAAUCCCAACAAGCGGACAAGAGGAUUUAGCUAUAGGUAUCAUAGACAGAAGUCACCCUAAUACAGUACAGGACUCCUGAAGACAGUACAGUUAUAGUAGUUGGCAAAGGAUCUGAACAAGUGUAGUAUGCCAGCGGAAGGAGUUAAAGAGUUACCGAAGCUGUUGAAGCAGUUUGUGAUCCAGGGUAAGAAACAUCUGAAUGAGCGGGGCAUGAUAGGCAUUGUCAACUGGUAACAUCUCUUUGUUCUUCACCCUUGCCGACCCAUCCUCUGUCACCAAAACCAUUCUUAUCAGAGUAGCUUUCCUAUUAUACUAAGCUUGUUCCAGAUGGCCGAGUAAACACCGAGUAUUAGGCUUGAAACACCACCAAGUCAGUAAGUGACCAGUAAGUAAGAAAGAAACUCGCCAAUAAACCUAGUGCUCCGGCUCGCAAACGAGUGACUCAUCAUUUCACCCCGCUGGCUGGCUCUGCUGGGCUUGUUUCAUUCAGUUACUCAGGUAGUUGUUG